rnacentral:rRNA from 1 species
GGAUGGAGCAUUCUGAUCCAGCCAUGCCGCGGUGCAGGAAGACGGUCCUAUGGAUUGUAAACUGCUUUUAUACAGGAAGAAAAANAGAGAUUCGUUCUUUUAUUGACGGUACUGUAUGAAUAAGAAUCGGCUAACUCCGUGCCAGCAGCCGCGGUAAUACGAA